GGUUGAUAUUAAAGGAAUAAGUAAUGAAUUUCAGUUAGCUGAACAAUAUGCUUGUUCAAUUUGGUAGAAGAUGGUGGCAAUUGAAAGGAGAUUACACAAAAAAUGGCUUGAAGGGGAAGGCAAUAAAAUAUGGCAGUGUUUGGUCUAUAAUAAUUAAUAGUGUAUACACGCCAUGAUUCAAUUUUAGGCAUCAUGUAUAUUAGUUACUAUCACAACAACAAACCAAUUUUCAUGUUUACAUAAAUUAUUCACCAUCAAGCAAAAAUAAUAAUAAAUUGUUUCACCAUUUGUGUUAAAAUAAUGUGUGAAACUCCAAUUUGGUGCUUAAAAUUGUAGGAGCCAGAUUUUACAUGUUUAUGUAAGUUGUUUGCCAAUAAGUGCACACUGGCACACAUACACGCAAAAAUUGAUGCCCAAAAUAAUGUGUGAAAUUCCAAUUUAAUGCUUAAAAUUUUACCUCAAAAAAAUGCAAUCGAC
rnacentral:lncRNA from 1 species